rnacentral:rRNA from 1 species
CCUACGGGUGGCUGCAGUGGGGAAUAUUGGACAAUGGGGGGAACCCUGAUCCAGCCAUGCCGCGUGUGUGAAGAAGGCCCUCGGGUUGUAAAGCACUUUCAGUGAGGAAGAACGCCUGGUGGUUAAUACCCAUCAGGAAAGACAUCACUCACAGAAGAAGCACCGGCUAACUCCGUGCCAGCAGCCGCGGUAAUACGGAGGGUGCGAGCGUUAAUCGGAAUUACUGGGCGUAAAGCGCGCGUAGGUGGCUUGAUAAGCCGGUUGUGAAAGCCCCGGGCUCAACCUGGGAACGGCAUCCGGAACUGUCCAGCUAGAGUGCAGGAGAGGAAGGUAGAAUUCCCGGUGUAGCGGUGAAAUGCGUAGAGAUCGGGAGGAAUACCAGUGGCGAAGGCGGCCUUCUGGACUGACACUGACACUGAGGUGCGAAAGCGUGGGUAGCAAACAGGAUUAGAUACCCGUGUAGUC